CCGGGGUCCACCAGCGACCCCGACGGGCCUGGAGGACGAGGCGUCCACGUUCCGGCUCACUUGAAUACCCUCGAGAGGGAUUCGGCCCCAACUCCAGCCUCAACCUUCCAGGGAGCAAGAGCAGGGAGCUUUUCCUGCAAGGAGGAAGAUGAACGUGAACUGUAUCCCCGCAGAGACCGAGGCCACUACAGCUUACACGCGAGAAACUUUCACACUCCAGCUAGAAGAGAAAAAGUUAACGUUCAGAGGGUGUUAUCUGACGUCUGAAUUAUCAUUGACGGUGCUGUUAUGUGGGGACCACCCGGAAUCUGCACCACAUCCUGGCGGACAACUGAGGACUCGAGAAGCCGACGUCUGCACGACUCGUUGCAGAAGAGCCAGGGUAGAACCCUGGAAGAGGCAUUCUACACCUUUGGCUUUAAGUGGGAUCAAAAUCCCAAAUACAAGAGGAGACAGGGGAAAAAGGCUAAAGACACAUCCCAGUCACUUGAGCAUAUAAAGAGAAGUUGCCUUUAAAAUUUUUUUAUAAUCCUUUUAGCACAAGCUAUUUGCUUAAAGGCACCGUUUUGAUGGUUAAGAGCUUUAUAAAUUUCUUGCAUGAAAGCAAUAAAUAUAUAUUGGGAAUCAGUCUACAGACCCCAAGUUAAUCACCUGCAUUCGAAAUAGACAGAUGACUCAUCACCCUCAGGACAA